GCCUAGAUAGCUUAGUUGGUAGUGCGUCUGCCUUGUAAGCGCUAGGCCGCGGGUUCGAUUCCCGCCCGGGGCG
rfam:Asian citrus Psyllid, Diaphorina citri - Florida Strain, whole genome shotgun sequence.